rnacentral:rRNA from 1 species
GAUGGCCUACCAAGGCGACGACGGGUAGCCGGCCUGAGAGGGCGACCGGCCACACUGGGACUGAGACACGGCCCAGACUCCUACGGGAGGCAGCAGUGGGGAAUAUUGCGCAAUGGGCGAAAGCCUGACGCAGCGACGCCGCGUGAGGGAUGACGGCCUUCUGGUUGUAAACCUCUUUCAGCAGGGAAGAAGCGAAAGUGACGGUACCUGCAGAAGAAGCACCGGCUAACUACGUGCCAGCAGCCGCGGUAAUACGUAGGGUGCAAGCGUUGUCCGGAAUUAUUGGGCGUAAAGAGCUCGUAGGCGGUCUGUCGCGUCUGCUGUGAAAACUCAGGGCUUAACCCUGAGCUUGCAGUGGGUACGGGCAGACUAGAGUGCGGUAGGGGAGACUGGAAUUCCUGGUGUAGCGGUGAAAUGCGCAGAUAUCAGGAGGAACACCGGUGGCGAAGGCGGGUCUCUGGGCCGUAACUGACGCUGAGGAGCGAAAGCAUGGGGAGCGAACAGGAUUAGAUACCCUGGUAGUCCAUGCCGUAAACGUUGGGCGCUAGGUGUGGGGCUCAUUCCACGAGUUCUGUGCCGCAGCUAACGCAUUAAGCG